rnacentral:lncRNA from 1 species
UCUCUCUGCUUAAUCUUGUUGUAGGGUGCAGUGCUGUUUGAUGAAGUGAGAAAGGCUGCCGCGCGCAGCUUUUCUUCGUAGCGCUCUCUCUGCCUAAUCUUGCAGUAGGGUGUAGUGCCGUUUGAUGAAAUAAGAACUGCUGUCGCAGUAUCAGAAGCAUCAAAUUAGAGCUUUUUUAUCAAAUGCUUGGAAACCAGAAGCAAAAGCAGUAGCAAAGUUUGUUUUUUUUUUUAUUUUUAAAUUUUGGUGACCCAUUUUCACAGGUGGGGCUUGUGGGUAUGGAUCAAUGGCCACACAACUAAAUGGAGGCUACAUUGCAGCAGGGAACCCAGCUCUUUUCAGAAGAGGAAAUGGUUGUGGAGGAUGCUACAAGGUUUUUUUUUUUUUUUUAAUAGUUAAUUAAUUAUUAAUUACUAAAUGAUGAGUACUAUUAUUACUAUCUCUUAAUUUGCAAUUAUAACUCUAAUAAUUAAUAAAGUAUUUUGAUUUUACUGAUGUGGUGAUGUGGGAGUUUUGAAUUUGUUGUGGCAGGUGAGAUGUGUUGAUAAGAUGCUUUGCAACAGUGAAGGUGUUAAGGUGAUUCUGACAGAUAGUAGCAGGAGAGUGAAUCGUACGGAACUGGUUCUCAGCAAGAAGGGGUUCAUGGCCAUGGCUCAAAAAGGCUUGGCCCAUCAUUUGAUGAGACUUAAGAUGGUUCAUGUGGAGUAUAAGAGGUAAUUAAUUUGAGUUGCUUUUUAUUAUUAUUAUUAUUAUUAUUAUUAUUAUUAUUAUUAUUAUUGUUAGGCUCCAUUAAAAUUUUAAGUUUUCGCAUUUAGUCUCCUUCUGUUAGGUUCCAUCACUAUUCCGUUCAUUUUUUAUAUUUUAUUUCAAAAACGUCCUUCAAAGUGACAUAAAUAUAUUAAAAAAUUAUUAUUAUUUUUAUAGAAGAAGUAAGAAUAAUUUGGUCAUUUUGUCCUUUUCAUUAAUACCGUAUCUUUUGAAAAUAUUUUUGAAAUUUUAAGAAAAUAAAUUAUAGAUUUUUAAAAGAUAGAGAGGAAAAAUAAAAAAGCGGAUAUUUAUAGAAGAAUUUUUUGUAUUUUAGUCUUAUUGUUAUUAUUAUUGUUGUUGUUGUUGUUGUUGUUGUUGUCGAUCGAUAUAUGUUGUGCUUAUAAAUAAUCUUUUUAAUCACAUACAGCCAAAAGUGUGAGUUUGUAAAAUAAAAUUAUAGAAUUUGUUUGUAAGUAUAGCAUUACUCGAGUAUUAAGUAUUAACUCUCAGGUGAUUGAAUUAAUUAUUAUGAUUAUGUAAAUUAUAGCGAAAUAUAAUGAUACAUUUUUUUUAUUUCAAUUUAGCCUCAUUUAAUUACCUUUUUUAAAUUUAAAGGAUGUAGAUGGCCAAUGGGCAUAAUUCUAGUAUCCUAAGAAGAGCCCUUUUUUUUUAAAAAAAAAAUCUUUAUCAUCUGUGGCCCUUUUGUACAAGUGUACUUAAAUUUUACCCUAAAAUAAUAUAACAGAUUUUUUUAUUAAAAUCUUUUUAAUAUCUCUAUGCAUUACCAGUAAAGUCCAAAGCUGAAAAAAAAAGAAAUAAAAACACACACAUAAGAGUUUUUUCUCUGCCCUUUAUGUGUGUGUUUUUAUUUCUUUUUUUUUCAGCUUUGGACUUUACUGGUAAUGCAUAAGAUAGAAUUUGUGGGGUUUUUGGAUUUUUUUUCUGAUUUUUUAAAUUUUUUUUAAAACUCUUGUUGAAGUGUAUAAAAGCUGAGUUCUCAAUUUUUUUUAAAAAAAAUUAUGUUAACUUCCUACUUUAACAAAAUUAAUUUCAACAUUUUUCGCUUUUAGAAAUACUAAUUUUGGGCAAAAAAAAAAAGAGCUAAACCAUAUAAUGUCAUGGAGAAAUUUUUAAAACUUUUCUCUAAUUUAAAAAUAAUCUUCCAGGCAUUUUUAAUUUUUAUUUCAUUUUAUCUUAUUUUGUUUUAUUUUAUUUUUUGUACCUCAUUAUAUUUAUAUAUCUAUAUAUAUUUAUAAAAAUGUAUAUAUGAAUGAGCAGGAUACCCUGUGAAUACAAGAACAAGAACUUGUCCAUCCGAGUGGAGGAGGGCAGCAGAAACCCCAAACAUCUGACCCUCAAAUUCCUCUUCCAAGGCGGCCAAACCGACAUCGUCGCCGUCGAUCUCGCACAGGUAUGAACCGC